rnacentral:rRNA from 1 species
GACGAACGCUGGCGGCGUGCCUAACACAUGCAAGUCGAACGGGGUGAUUCCUUCGGGGAUUACUUAGUGGCGAACGGGUGAGUAACGCGUGAGGAACCUGCCUCUCAGUGGGGGACAACAGUUGGAAACGACUGCUAAUACCGCAUAAUGUUACCGGGGGCAUCCCUUGAUAACCAAAGCUUUAUGUGCUGAAAGAUGGUCUCGCGUCUGAUUAGCUAGAUGGCGGGGUAACGGCUCACCAAGUCGACGAUCAGUAGCCGGUCUGAGAGGAUGAACGGCCACAUUGGGACUGAGAUACGGCCCAGACUCCUACGGGAGGCAGCAGUGGGGAAUAUUGGGCAAUGGGGGAAACCCUGACCCAGCAACGCCGCGUGAAGGAAGAAGGCCUUCGGGUUGGUAAACUUCUUUUACCAGGGACGGAACACAAUGACGGUACCUGGAGAAAAAGACAACGGCUAACUACGUG